rnacentral:sRNA from 1 species
UUGAAUUGAAGGUUUCUGUGAUAUUUCAAGAAAUGGGAUAGAAUCAAUGUCCUGAUGAACAACAUUUAACAAUUUUGUAAGUAAAGGUGCCAAAGAAGAG